AACGAACGCUGGCGGCAUGCCUAACACAUGCAAGUCGAACGAUUGCCUUCGGGUGAUAGUGGCGCACGGAUGCGUAACGCGUGGGAAUCUGCCCUUAGGUUCGGAAUAACAGCUGGAAACGGCUGCUAAUACCGGAUGAUAUCGCGAGAUCAAAGAUUUAUCGCCUGAGGAUGCGCCCGCGUUGGAUUAGGUAGUUGGUGGGGUAAAGGCCUACCAAGCCGACGAUCCAUAGCUGGUCUGAGAGGAUGAUCAGCCACACUGGGACUGAGACACGGCCCAGACUCCUACGGGAGGCAGCAGUGGGGAAUAUUGGACAAUGGGCGCAAGCCUGAUCCAGCAAUGCCGUGUGAGUGAUGAAGGCCCUAGGGUUGUAAAGCUCUUUUACCCGGGAAGAUAAUGACUGUACCGGGAGAAUAAGCCCCGGCUAACUCCGUG
rnacentral:rRNA from 1 species